GAUGAACGCUAGCGGCAGGCCUAAUACAUGCAAGUCGAACGCUCAGUAGCAAUACUGGGAGUGGCGCACGGGUGCGUAACGCGUACACAAUCUACCUCUAAGCGGGGGACACCUCCUGGAAACGGGGAUUAAUACCGCAUAAUAUGCCGAAGUCGCAUGACUUUGGUAUUAAAGCAGCAAUGCACUUAGAGAUGAGUGUGCGUCCCAUUAGGUAGUUGGUGAGGUAACGGCUCACCAAGCCUAUGAUGGGUAGCCGGUCUGAGAGGAUGGUCGGCCACACGGGCACUGAGACACGGGCCCGACUCCUACGGGAGGCAGCAGUAAGGAAUAUUGGUCAAUGGGCGCAAGCCUGAUCCAGCCACGCCGCGUGAGUGAUGAAGGCCUUCGGGUCGUAAAGCUCUGUGGGGAGGGACGAACCGGCUGCACGUUCAUAGCGUGCAGCAUGACGGUACCUCCUUAGCAAGCACCGGCUAACUUCGUGCCAG
rnacentral:rRNA from 1 species